GCCUUGUGCGUUGAUAGUUCAGUUGGUUAGAGCAUGGUGCUGAUUAUGUCAAGAUUGGAGGUUCGAUCCCUGUAUGGGACA